UACGUAGGGCGCAAGCGUUGUCCGGAAUUAUUGGGCGUAAAGAGCUCGUAGGCGGCUUGUCGCGUCUGCUGUGAAAACCUGAGGCUCAACCUCGGGCUUGCAGUGGGUACGGGCAGACUAGAGUGCGGUAGGGGUGACUGGAAUUCCUGGUGUAGCGGUGGAAUGCGCAGAUAUCAGGAGGAACACCGAUGGCGAAGGCAGGUCACUGGGCCGCAACUGACGCUGAGGAGCGAAAGCAUGGGGAGCGAACAGG
rnacentral:rRNA from 1 species